GACGAACGCUGGCGGCGUGCCUAACACAUGCAAGUCGAACGGAAAGGCCCUGCUUUUGUGGGGUGCUCGAGUGGCGAACGGGUGAGUAACACGUGAGUAACCUGCCCUUGACUUUGGGAUAACUUCAGGAAACUGGGGCUAAUACCGGAUAGGAGCUCCUGCUGCAUGGUGGGAGUUGGAAAGUUUCGGCGGUUGGGGAUGGACUCGCGGUUUAUCAGCUUGUUGGUGGGGUAGUGGCUUACCAGGGCAUUGACGGGUAGCCGGCCUGAGAGGGUAGCCGGCCACGUGACGACUGCGAUACGGCACAGACUGCAACAGGAGGCAACAGUGGAGAAUGUGACACAACGGGCGGGAGCCUGAUGCAGCAAAGCCGCGGGCGGGAUGACGGCCUGCGGGGUGUAAAGCGCUUUAGCCUGAGACGAAGAGUUAGUGACGGUAAUGGGUAAAGAAGCACCGGCUAACUACGUG
rnacentral:rRNA from 1 species